rnacentral:rRNA from 1 species
GACGUAGGGCGCAAGCGUUUGUCCGGAUUUAUUGGGCGUAAAGAGCUCGUAGGCGGCUUGUCGCGUCGACUGUGAAAACCCGCGGCUCAACUGCGGGCCUGCAGCCGAUACGGGCAGGCUAGAGUCCGGAAGAGGAGAAUGGAAUUCCCGGUGUAGCGGUGAAAUGCGCAGAUAUCGGGAAGAACACCCGUGGCGAAGGCGGUUCUCUGGGACGGUACUGACGCUGAGACGCGAAAGCGUGGGGAGCGAACAGG